CUAGAAUAUUAGAAUAUUAAUUUAAAACUAAGAAUUUUUUUAAAAUUUUAAGAAGGGUUAGAAUGAUGAGCUGGCAACCGCACCACAUAAUGGCGGUCUAUGACUUUAACAGUUUAUACCCCUCUCUGAAGUUGGAGCCAGUUUGUUUGGCCCUACACAGAUUUAUGCUACAGAACCUCCAGUAUGUGCAAGGAAGAGAGAGAAUUCUAAGAGAUAUGGCACAUCAACUUUGUCAUCGGUCUUACUGUGCUUCACUUCGCUACAGUGUGGAGCACGACACAUCCCAUUCUUGUGCUAUCUAAAUGCAUGUGUAUCUCAUUAAUCUUUAACCCUAGUUCAUUAG
rnacentral:lncRNA from 1 species